rnacentral:rRNA from 1 species
UACGAGGGGGGCGAGCGUUGUUCGGAAUUAUUGGGCGUAAAGGGCUCGUAGGCGGUCUGUCACGUCGGGAGUGAAAACACGGGGCUUAACCCCGUGCCUGCUUCCGAUACGGGCAGACUAGAGGUAUGCAGGGGAGAACGGAAUUCCUGGUGUAGCGGUGAAAUGCGCAGAUAUCAGGAGGAACACCGGUGGCGAAAGCACUCUGCUGGGCCGACACUGACACUGAGAGACGAAAGCUAGGGGAGCGAAUGGG